UUCAGAUGGAUCAUCCAAGUGAU
rnacentral:siRNA from 1 species